UACGUAGGGCGCAAGCGUUGUCCGGAAUUAUUGGGCGUAAAGAGCUCGUAGGCGGUUUGUCGCGUCUGCUGUGAAAACCUAAGGCUCAACCUUGGGCUUGCAGUGGGUACGGGCAGACUAGAGUGCGGUAGGGGUGACUGGAAUUCCUGGUGUAGCGGUGGAAUGCGCAGAUAUCAGGAGGAACACCGAUGGCGAAGGCAGCUCGCUGGGACGGUACUGACGCUGAGGCGCGAAAGCGUGGGGAGCAAACAGG
rnacentral:rRNA from 1 species